rnacentral:misc_RNA from 1 species
CCGGUGUGAAAAGAUCGUUCUGCAAGGGUGAAUCUUUUUGCGUGGAAAUCCGCGAUAACAAGCAGAUCAUCCAGCGAUGGAAAGUUCUGAUAUCACCUUUGAUAACCAUCCAACGAAGGUCUGGGAUUUGAAGAAGCAUAAGAUUCGAAUGAAAAGAGGAAAAAAGGCAGUAAAAGAGGAAAUAUCAAACGAAAUUUGAUAGCAAAAUCGUUAUCAGAAAAUUGUAAGCAGCGUUGUCAAUAUUGGAUUUACACAUAUCUUUGACAAUUUUUGACAUUAAUUCAAAAUCCAUCGCUACAGAGAGACCCCAGCUGAGAAAUGACUGUUACGGGGCGGCGAGCGCGCAUCCGCCUCGAAAUAGGAAGCCUCGUAGGACGCACAAUGAAACAAUGAGACUGUUACGUGCAAGGAAGGAAAGACGAGGAGCCCCGUGCCCUCGAAAGAUCCCCUUUCGUUCAUUCGCGAGUACAUCGGUGAAACUUCUCACUAUACUG